AUAAACCUUAAUUACAGAUCAUAUCUCUUUGUUUCAAGUACGAGAUUCUUUGGGGUUUUUAGAUCUCACUCCAGUAUUUACCAUAGCUAUGUAAGGUAUUAGUAAUAGUGGAAAUCGGGUAUUUAGGAACUCUCUAUAAAUGUUUCUAGAUCCAUUUUUAUUUUCUGUAAAUGUAAAACUAUUUUAAAAUAAAAUUUAUUUAACAAUAAAUAAAGCUAGGAGCAAACAUAUUUUUAACAAUGAGCAUGCAUUUGCUCUCCUACUGGAAGGUCUGAAGGUUGGCUGAGAUGAUUCUGCAUUCGUUUCAGGUUUGCAAGUCAGCUGGGGCAGCUUGGAUCAACCUGGCUCAUUUGGAGCCCUGGUUACCCAGCAUAUGCUCUUCUCAUGGCAAUGUCAGGAAUACAAGAGAAAGAAGCCAACUAAACAAGCACGUCUGAAGCCUUUGCUCAUCUCAUAUCUGCCAAUGUUCUAUCAACAAAAUCAAGUCAACAGUCAAGCCAAAGUCAAGAAUAUACCUGGCAGGCAUCUGACUAUGAAAAGAUGGCCAAAGAGGGGGAAAGAUAUAGAGGCAUUCCAGCAGCACAGUAAAAACAAUCAAGUUAGCAUCCAAAAAACUGAAUCGAAAACAAUGCCGACCAGCUUUCACGUACACACAGUUCCUAAUGAGGUGGCUCCAAAGUGCCUGAGAACAAGGAAAGGAAACGAGUUGGGAUUUCCCGCGGUCUCCUGUCACCCAUGGGUGCUAUGCCUCUGCUUCCGGCACAGUCAGAAGCCAGGACAGUUUAAAUCCUGGUCCAGCAGAGAGAAGGGCCCUGGACCUGAGAUCAUCCAUCAUCAACAACCUCUCUGCCAAGAAAAGUCCAAGGCUACUUCCUUAGGAAGGGUCUUUGGACCAGGGCAUUUCAGUAAGAAGGGGAAAAUUGGACAUGACUGGCACUUAAACAAACCCAACAGGUGCAGACUGUAAAUUGGCAAAGUGACAUCAUCAAUAGAAAAUCAGACUGCAGAAAUCGAGAAACUUGGCAUAGCCCUUCUCUUUCCAGUCCACUUGACCUGGUGCUAACCAUACAACUGCCGUAAGCCUUAAUUUUCUCAUGGAGAUGGAAACGGGUUAUUGGGAAAUUCAAAUCAGAUAAUUUAUGUGAAAAUAUGUUAUAAUCUCUGAGAUGUAAAGCGUGACCACCGGAGUUUAAAAAGAAUAGAAGCAAGAAAACAAGCUGAGUCUCCAACUUGCCGGGGAAGUGAACACACUCCAGGAAAGAAAUUCACUCAAUGGUGAGUAGAAAAUGUACCAUGUUCAAGGCUUUUUUUUAUUAUAACAUCCAACAUCUUUGACAAAUUACAAAUAGAACACAGUGGUUGAUUAAGUAAGCGGUGCUAUGGUGAUGGUAAAAGCUAUCCACUAAUCUUUUCAUAAAAGACAAAUGGCCAAGUGGGGAUUUCUUUUAACAAAGAAUCAAGGGGGCCUUUAGAAACUGAAGGAUCAGAUUGUAAAGUCGGAAGCAUUGGCCUCUGUAACUGUAAUCUCCCUUUUUAAAGCUAUGUUUUCAAAGUCUUGCUGGUUGGCAGACAAGCAAAACUCAGAGCAUAUUCAUGAAAGAACAGACUGAGGACUUGCAAAGACUUUGGAGACAGGAGACCUGUGUCCUGUUCUGCUCCUGAC
rnacentral:lncRNA from 1 species